GACGAACGCUGGCGGCGUGCCUAAUACAUGCAAGUCGAGCGGAACUGGGGGAGCUUGCUCCUUCCAGUUUAGCGGCGGACGGGUGAGUAACACGUGGGCAACCUGCCCUGCAGAUCGGGAUAACUCCGGGAAACCGGUGCUAAUACCGAAUAGUUUGGCGCCUCUCCUGAGGCGCCACGGAAAGACGGUUUCGGCUGUCACUGCCGGAUGCGCCCGCGGCGCAUUAGCUAGUUGGGGGGGUAACGGCCCACCAAGGCGACGAUGCGUAGCCGACCUGAGAGGGUGACCGGCCACACUGGGACUGAGACACGGCCCAGACUCCUACGGGAGGCAGCAGUAGGGAAUCUUCCGCAAUGGACGCAAGUCUGACGGAGCAACGCCGCGUGAGUGACGAAGGUUUUCGGAUCGUAAAACUCUGUUGUGAGGGAAGAACACGUACCAACUAACUAUUGGUACCUUGACGGUACCUCACCAGAAAGCCACGGCUAACUACGUGCCAGCCGCCGCCGUAA
rnacentral:rRNA from 1 species